rnacentral:tRNA from 1 species
GUUCUUGUAGCUUAUACAAAGCAUGACACUGAAGACGUCAAGAUGGAUGCCAAACACACCCAAGGACA